GAGCUUCAAAUGAUGAUCAUUUGCAUAGUUCAAAUGAUGUUCUUCUGUGAUUAUACAUCUCUUUUAGUCUUUCGCUCCUAUCUGAUGAUCUCU